rnacentral:rRNA from 1 species
CUUUACUGUAGCCUGGAAUUGGGUCCGGGCUUCGCUUGCGCAGGAUAGGUGGGAGACUAUGAAGCAAUCCUUGUGGGGGUUGCUGAGUCAACGGUGAGAUACCACUCUGUCAGAGCUAGAAUUCUAACUAAAUGCCGUUAUCCGGCUUUGGAACCGUAUCAGGUGGGCAGUUUGACUGGGGCGGUCGCCUCCUAAAAGGUAACGGAGGCGCGCAAAGGUUCUCUCAGGCUGGUUGGAAAUCAGCCGUAGAGUGUAAAGGCAGAAGAGAGCUUGACUGCAAGAGCUACAACUCGAGCAGGGUGGAAACACGGCCUUAGUGAUCCGACGGCGCUGAGUGGAAGGGCCGUCGCUCAACGGAUAAAAGUUA